GGGUCAUGACCUCAGCCAAAGGUGAAGGCAGGCACUUAACUGACUGAGCCACCCAGGUGUCUCACAACAGAAUUAUUUUUAAUAAACGGAUUUAUUUCUCAGUCUGAGAGAAGUCACUGCAUUUGGCCAAAACAGACAUGACUUCAUUUUUAAAAUCAGCUCUGCUCAAAAAAUAUUUAAGGAGAGAUGGGCACACACAGUCUGGGCUGUUUAGAUGAGUGGAGCGAGAGUCAGAAAGAGGCCCAGGGAUUGGGCUAAAUCAGGGCUGAGACUGUUGUUUUUCCAGCAGGUCACCGGGCAGUGAGUCAAGAAGCAGAGAUGAUGAGUCAAGACCACAGCCCAGAAACUGCAGUGAGACAUCUUCUCUGGUGACCCAGAAUGUUUUGUGCGUGCUUGAAAAGACUCUGCGCUGCUGUUGGCCAAGGGCUGUGCACACGCACGCAGGUCAGGGUGGCUUAUCGUGUGUUCCCACUCCUGCAUUUCCUCGUUGGCCUCCGCCUAGCUCCUCUGCCCCUCAGUGGGAGUGUGUCACCGAAGGCCCCAGGUUUGAGUCUACACAUGGCCAAAAUGUAGGCCACAUCUCUCCACUCAGCUCACCUUCUGGAUCACAGGUCCUUGGAGCUCCAGGUGCCUUUCCUCCCUGGACCCCAGGUCCAGAUGUGGGCCUGGGGAGGAAGGGGCAGGGACACACAAGGAGUCACCGUCUGUGAACCUCGCCAGCUGCCAGGCCUGCCGGCUCCUUGAUCUUGGAUAUCCAGCCUCCAGAAUGUGGAGCACGGAGCCCGUGGUCUGUUGACUGCUCAGUGAACACCAGCUCCGAGCGUGUGCCGAGGGGCACUUGGCACCCGUCCUGAGGCAGAGAUCGCUACCCCAUUUUACAGACAAGACAGCCGAGGCUCAGUUGAGCUCACAUCACUUGGCUAAGUGGUCACGAUGAGGGCAAGCCAGCUCCCUGGUCCGGGUCAUGAUCACGGGUGUCUAUGUCACUGGCCCUCUCCCCUGGGAGCAGUCCUAUCCUCCCUCCCACCCUAACAGACCCUGCUCAAGCCUCUCACUCCACGCAGCCCUCCCGAUGCCUCCUGACCCUCCAUCUCUCCUCCUGGUACCCGGAGCCUGGCUCUCAUUCUGAGCAGCCUUGAGUUGCUCCUGAUUGCCGCCCCUAACCACCCUGUGACAGGUACCGGGGGUCUGGCUUCCCUGUGGUCCCACCCAUGGUGCGGGGCUUGGAGGACAGAGGAGUAAAGACAGCAGGCAGCAGCCUCAAGCCGAGGUGGCCCACACACAGGUCCCUGAGGACGGGGCUGGUAAGGGUAGCCCAUCAGCUUUUUUGGCCUGGGGAGAGGGAAGGGGUGACAGAGCACACCAUUUGGAGCUCCUUGGCCUGAAGAACAGAGGAAGGAUCCCAUGCAGCAGGUGAAGGUGUGCCAUCCGAGGCCAGCUGGUGGCGGCCUCCUGACGCCUCUUCCUGCAUCAGCAGUGGGGACCGACUUGUUUGGAUGUCGGUGAUGGAAUGUACACCAAGCAGGCCCUGGCCCCAGCAGAUGUCUUAAGUCUGCCCUUUUGCUGGGCCUAAUGCAGUGGCUACACUGAAAACCGGAGGUGCCCUCAUACCCACCUUUUCGCGGCCUCUGUAGAAGGGCCAAGGGAUGCUGCCCAGUGAAGGACCCUCUCUCACUGGAGAGGUUCCCAAUGCACUUACUGAUGGCCUAUGAGGGUUACCCAGGGCCUUCGAUCCCUGAACGGGAGCCCUCAGCACGUUCUGCAGCCCACAGGGUCAAGCGGCCUGGCCAGGCUCACCAGCGGUGGGCGAGUCUGGAGAGCUGCCACGUCCCCUCUUGGAGAAUCGGGAAGGGCACGGACUCCAGGCAAGGCCCGCUUGUGGAGAACAGCCUGCUGGCUUUGACCUGCAGGAGCCCAGGAAAGCUGCAGCCUGGGAUUCUGACCACAGGAGCUCUGCGGGUCUUGUUGGCCAGGGGCAGUUUCAGCAGCCCACGUUCAUUUCACUACAGGGGACGAUGGGAAGCCAGAGGGGAAACCGGGCUUGAGCUCCAGAACCAGAGGAGAGGCGACGGGCGGGACCCCGACAGUAAGCCUAUCUAUCCACUCUGGGAUCAACCUGGAGCUCCUCAGAACGUGUCUGAGCUUCCCCAUCCCAUGCAUGCUGCCCACACCUUCCAGGUUCACUUGAAAAUCGCCUCCAGAGCACUGUGGGGAGAUCGAGGGGUGCAGUGUCAAGGAGACAGUGGUCUCUGCCCACAUCCUUUGUGGGGUCCGCACCUCCAGCUGGCAUAGGAACGUGGGUAGGGUGAUGUCCCUCCCUCCUAGGCACGCAGACACCCCUGGCCUGAGGGGCAGGGCCACUUUGGAGCUCCGUGCCCCAGGACAGGAUGGACCUGGGACUGGCUGUAGGGUCUGGUCACUGUAGGUACAGCGGACAUGCCUUUGCCCCCUUGAGCCUUCCCCGCUGGUCUUUGCUUCUCCUUCACCCAAGGGUGCCCACCAUCCUACAUGUGGUGUCUUUAAAGAGGAAGCAUAUUUGAUACCAUUAAAAUAGGCACAGAAGAUGAAGACUGGUUUUCAAACCUUGUCGUUCUACAGCAGCUUUUUCUUUAUUAUUUACAUUUUUUAUUUUUAAAUUUGUGGUAAAAAACCACGUAAAAUUUUCUCUUAGCCUUUUUAAAAUGAAUAGUUCCAGGCCAUUGAUCACAUUCUCUUGGGGCCACGCAUGGGACGGUCCUGCUGGGCGGCCAGAGGCAUCCCCUGCCGUGGGGUCUAUCAGUGAGAACCCCCUAAAUGAAAUUAAUUCCCCUUUUGUACAAAUGAAGCUCUUCAGCCUGGCACCUUCUGUCCGGUUUGGCCAAAGAUGGGCCUUCAAGACCUUCGCCUGUGAUGACUUGCUUGGCGCACCCGUUACGGUCACGGUUCUGUGAGUUUCACCCGUAAGACUCCGUGCGGAGAAACCACAGAGCGCCGCGUGUCCUCGCUCCCUUCCUCCAGCAGCGAGCCCAGGCCGGCCAGGGAGUUGAAGUGCAGGACUUAACGUCGACUUUGUCGGUGUCCUGCUAGAGCUGCCCUCCUUGUAUGAAUGCUUCAAACGCCAGGCUGAAUUCCAGGGUGAGGUUGGAACUGAAGGGUGUUCGUGGUGAACUUCAGGCCUGUGUGUGGAGAGGGGCUUUCAGGGGGAGGGGGUUUCAACUGAACUAGGGACUGGGAUUAUGCUGGUUAACUCAGACAUCCCUUCUCUCCUCCUCCUUCACUUUGGGGCCUCGCCCAGGGCCUGGGGAUGCGUGCCCGGACGCCCUCUCCCUGGGGACCUGCUCCCAAGGCUGCCUUGUGUAGCAGGUGCUGUCGGUCCCACCUGAGGAGGUUGAGCAGCUGGAAAUGGCAGAGCCAGAUGUCAGCCUCUUCUGAGCCAUAGGGGGCGGGGCCCAGGGGAGGAAGGGAAGGAAGGGGUAGUGCCCUGGACCUUCCUGCCUGAGCGGGUGGACUGGGCUGUGAGGCUGUCCUGCAGGGGAGAGGGUGCCUGAGCCAGGGGAGCAGGGAGGGGGAGCUGCUGUUGCUGGUGGACACCAGGGCCUGCUGCGGGGCUGGGGAGAAGACAGGUGGGGCGGACGCUACAUCUUGUGUGGAACAGGCUGCUCAUUGCCCAGGCCUGGGACCUGUUCCUGCUGCCAAAACAGAAGGUUCUGGUUCCAGCGCAAGGUGAAGCUCCCUGGAACUGAAUUCCCGGCCUGGGAGUUACAGUCUGCCUCCAAAGGGAAAGCAGCAUGGCUCCAGGAGCAGAUGGUCCGUGUGAGGCCCCCCAGCUCUUCCCUGUGUCCUCGACUGCCCUCCCCAGGACCCAGUGCAGCUAGAGACAAGCAGGUGGGUGAGUCAGGCUGUGGGUCUGAAUUGUGGGCACCUAUGUUCCAGCCAUGGGGGCGGGCGGGGGCAGGAGGAAGUGGCUCUGAGUCAGAGGUCCUGUGGGGCUCGUUUUCCAGGACACUGACCUCCCUGUGGCCCCAACAGUAGGCCAGAUGGAG